rnacentral:lncRNA from 1 species
UUUUCUCAAUCACAAUUCAUCAUAAGCAAAUAAUAAAGAAAACAAAGAGGUAGCACCAAGCUUACCCCGGCUUACAACUAUCACAAUUUGGCUCUUUGCUUACUUUCCUCAACCUAUUUAUUCUACCAAAAAGAUGAUUCGUCGGCCAGCGGAUUUCAAAGGUUAUGACCAUUUGAAUUCUUAACCAUUAAUUCCACUAACAACCUACUAUUAUCAACUAAAUUACCUAACUAUCAGUCUAAUUCUUAAGGUUGUCAAUAACCAACUAGUAACUUACCACAAAGUUUAUUUACCUAUUCUAUAUAGUCCCACUCCUAACUGUGCAGUGUCUUCGCAAACAUUAUUUAGCCUCAACUUAUAAAGACGUAGCAGCGUUAGCUUCUUCAGUAAAUGGUGUUGGCUUACCACCGUUUGAAUUGGUAACCUUCUUCUCUUUACAUCUUCAUCAUCUGCCUCAGUGUUCGAUGGUUCUCUAUCCAAACACAUCGUCCGAUCUUCAUUCAACAAACCCAAUUUCCGUACUUGAGACUCACGUCAGGAAAUUUGGUUGUCACGCUGUCGGGGUAGAGAGAGUUUGCCUCAAGAAAGCGCUGGGCUUCUGGCUGUCACUAAAUACUCAAUCAAGUUUGAAAUAUAAGGGUAACAAUUUUAUAUAUAUAAACUCCUCUCCUUUGGAGCAAUUACAUCAAUAUACAAGCCUUAAAAUCCAAAGAACACCAAAAUACUUGAUAAGGUGUUAUAAAAAACUUAUAUAUCCUUAUGAGGAAUUUUUCCCGAAGUUUAACAGCUCAUAACUUACGAUCUAACCGUCUAAACAACUCCAAAUUUUACAUGGAGUACUGAUAUAUCUUUACCAACUACCACACCAAAAUUCAACCGUAAAUUCGUCUUGGAUCUUGUGAUAUCUUCAAAACCCUAACUGUAGCUUCAAACCCUAGCUUUUUUACAUCCGUGUACAACUUCCUUCAUAUCUCACAAAGUAAUUCUUUAAAUACUAAAAAUUUUUGAUCUAAAGCUUUUUAACUCAAUUACACACACUUGUGGAAAUUUUGAGCCAAAAAUUCGUCCAGAAACUCAAGAUAUGGCUUCACCCAUAACUAGCAACAAAACGAUAUACUUACUGCCUUCAAAUUACAAGUGCUGUCUUCAACGCCUCAUAACUCCUUCACCCAAUCUUAGAAUUCACUAUACAGUAAGUAGAAUGUGUAGCCGAGAAAAUGCUCCCUCCAAAUCCAGUCGCCGAUCUUCUGUUGCUCUCCGUAUUCGUAUGUGAUGCCCAAAAGAAGUGACAGUAGGUACAAAAUUGACACCUUAUCUUUGAACAUUCAUAUCUUUUCCAUAAAAACUCGAAAUCACACAAAAUAUUCACCCAAAUUAUACCCAAAACCCUAAACCUUCUGACCCUAGCCUCAAAAUCUCGAAUGGCCUCGAAA